UUGGGCCUUAGGUUAUGCUAAGCACAAUGUUUCAUUUUCAAAGGGCAGCCAAAACAAGAGAGAGAGAAGCAAAAUGCAGAAGAGCAGGAACAGGGGAACAAUCAGAAGAAAAUUUUCGCAAGUCCAUAAGAACAACUAAGACAGAGAGAGCAUGUUACACAUAGAGCUCAAGACGGAAAAGCUUUCCUAUGGUCAGAAACGUCAUUGAUCAAGCUGUGAUAUCUCUGGAGAAGAUGAGGAAGAAGAUGGUGGAGGCGAAACCUAACCGAGUUUCUGUCUUGAACUAGGAGCUCAGCUGUGGAGCAGAAGAGAAAUAGGAGGAUAUUAAUUCUGAAUACGAGGUCCUUUGGAUGAAUAUAGAAAUGGAGGGACAAACAUGUGAAGCUGGGUUUCUACCGAAACUCAAUGUUAAGGCCACGCUUUGCCUUGGUGUGGAAAAGUUCAAUGUAUGUGUCUCAGAUGGGUUGCUUUCUGAUCAACUGGCUGCCAUGAAAGAAGAGUGCAUGCGUAUUCUCAAGGAUCACAUCACCAAAAACAAUGCCCCCAUGGAUGUUCCAGAUGAACCUCUUGAAGGUUCCUCUGAAGACGAGCCAGGUGAUCCGCCCAAGAAGCAAACUGAAACUGGGAGAUCCAAGAAGCGAAAAUGAUCAUUUGUUUUGGUUUCAGGAU